CGAGUAAUGGAGGGGGCGUUUCCGCGAUGCGCGUAUCGAGGCUUGCUUCAUUUAUGGGAGGAGCUGAAAAUGAUGACGUCCGAAGCCUCGCUGCCCGGCUGUACCACGUGACUGGUUCAUGAAGUGGUUCGAACUUUGCCGCGAGCUAUGACAGCGAUAUAAACCCCUCAGACUUCAUUCAAAAUGUGGGUGUUUGAUGGAGAGUUGCGGUUAGUGAGAGUUUGGAGACAGUUUGGAGACAGUUUGGAGGUUUAUGAGCGUGAGGUGAGAAAGUCAGAAGAGAAUGGAACCAGCUAAGAAGAGGAGGAUGUCCUCCCCUGUGUGGGAACAUUUUGAUUUUAUUCCUCCCAACAAGGUAUGUAAAUUUCUACAGAAGAUGUAUUUUCAUAAUACUGAUGGUGCAAUACAAUUUAUGUUAAGCGGCUUUACUUUUGUACAAGGCGAAGUGUUUGCUAUGUGCCAGGGAGCUGGGAUAUAACAUCCAUGCUUAGGCACUACAGAGCUUUGCAUGAGAAUAAGGGGAACACCGAUUGUGGAGCAAUACCAGGAGAACAAUCUCAAAUAGAUGAAGACCUGGUUAGCAUGGUGAUUGAGGACUCCCAGCCAUUUAGCAUUGUGGAGGACAAACGAUUUAAAAGACUUGUUAAAUCGUUAAAUCCUAGCUAUGUUCUCCCCACUAAAAGGCCAUAAAAGCAGUGAAAAUUUAGUUUUUACAGAAUAAAAUGUGAACAGGCAACACUGAGGCCUCAGUGUGUAGCUGUCCAUACCUCAACGUUACAAAAGCACAACUACUGUCCACACCCCAAUCACACCUCACAGUAAAUG
ensembl:lncRNA